GACGAACGCUGGCGGCGUGCCUAAUACAUGCAAGUCGAACGCAGUGGGGACGGGUGAGUAACACGUGGGUAACCUCCCAUCAGAGGGGAUAACACUUGGAAACAGGUGCUAAACCGAUACUGAUGGAUGGACCCGCGGUGGAUUAGCUAGUUGGUGAGGUAACGGCUCACCAAGGCCACGAUGCAUAGCCGAGCUGAGAGGGUGAUGGGCGACACAGAGACUGAGAGACGGCCCAGACUCGUACGGAAGGCAGCAGUAGGGAAUCGUCGGCAAUGGACGAAAGUCUGACCGAGCAACGCCGCGUGAGUGAAGAAGGUUGUCGGAUCGUAAAACUCUGUUGUGAGAGAAGCGGUAUCUAACCAGAAAGCCACGGCUAAAUACGUGCCAGCAGCCGGGGUAAUUC
rnacentral:rRNA from 1 species